CACUGCUGAGGAGUCCCAUACUAGGACGAAACGGCCGUCCAGCGC
rfam:Schistosoma haematobium scaffold1242_18, whole genome shotgun sequence.